rnacentral:rRNA from 1 species
UCCGGUUGAUCCUGCCGGACCCGACUGCUAUCAGAGUGGGACUAAGCCAUGCGAGUCAACAUAGCAAUAUGUGGCAUACGGCUCAGUAACACGUAGUCAACAUGCCCAGGGGACGUGGAUAACCUCGGGAAACUGAGGAUAAACCGCGAUAGGUCAUCACUUCUGGAAUGGGUAAUGACUUAAAUCUAUAUGGCCCCUGGAUUGGACUGCGGCCGAUCAGGCUGUUGGUGAGGUAAUGGCCCACCAAACCUGUAACCGGUACGGGCUCUGAGAGGAGGAGCCCGGAGAUGGGCACUGAGACAAGGGCCCAGGCCCUAUGGGGCGCAGCAGGCGCGAAACCUCUGCAAUAGGCGAAAGCUUGACAGGGUUACUCUGAGUGAUUUCCGUUAAGGAGAUCUUUUGGCACCUCUAAAAAUGGUGCAGAAUAAGGGGUGGGCAAGUCUGGUGUCAGCCGCCGCGGUAAUACCAGCACCCCGAGUGGUCGGGACGUUUAUUGGGCCUAAAGCAUCCGUAGCCGGUUCUACAAGUCUUCCGUUAAAUCCACCUGCUUAACAGAUGGGCUGCGGAAGAUACUAUAGAGCUAGGAGGCGGGAGAGGCAAGCGGUACUCGAUGGGUAGGGGUAAAAUCCGUUGAUCCAUUGAAGACCACCAGUGGCGAAGGCGGCUUGCCAGAACGCGCUCGACGGUGAGGGAUGAAAGCUGGGGGAGCAAACCGGAUUAGAUACCCGGGUAGUCCCAGCUGUAAACGAUGCAGACUCGGUGAUGAGUUGGCUUAUUGCUAACUCAGUGCCGCAGGGAAGCCGUUAAGUUUGCCGCCUGGGGAGUACGGUCGCAAGACUGAAACUUAAAGGAAUUGGCGGGGGAGCACCACAAGGGGUGAAGCCUGCGGUUCAAUUGGAGUCAACGCCGGAAAUCUUACCGGGGGCGACAGCAGAGUGAAGGUCAAGCUGAAGACUUUACCAGACAAGCUGAGAGGAGGUGCAUGGCCGUCGCCAGCUCGUGCCGUGAGGUGUCCUGUUAAGUCAGGUAACGAGCGAGACCCA